rnacentral:rRNA from 1 species
CGGGACGGGUGAGUAACGCGUGGGUAACCUGCCUCAUACAGGGGGAUAACAGUUAGAAAUGACUGCUAAUACCGCAUAAGCGCACAAAACCGCAUGGUUUGGUGUGAAAAACUGAGGUGGUAUGAGAUGGACCCGCGUCUGAUCAGCUAGUUGGAGAGGUAACGGCUCACCAAGGCAACGAUCAGUAGCCGACCUGAGAGGGUGACCGGCCACAUUGGGACUGAGACACGGCCCAAACUCCUACGGAAGGCAGCAG